GAAUAUUUCUACGACAGUACAUUCAUAUUUUAUUGUUUAUUUAGCUAGCUAAUAUUUAGUAAAACAGUUGUAGCCUGCCAGGAUAUUGAGCAAGAUGGCCAGCUAGCUAGCCAGCAACAGUCACGAGCUCCAUCUUCGAAUCUAGCCUGUUGACAGAGAUGUUCCUCAGGAAACCAACUGUGGCUGCGCAAUAUACGGGAGAGAAACUGAAACGGCUGCUUGAGCAGUGAUGGACUGGUCAUCUGGCCAUGGGCCUGAGCCCUAGGACCAUGCCUCAGGACUACCUGGCAUGAUGUCUCCUUGCUGUCCACGGUCCACCUAGUCGUGCUGCUGCUCCAGUUUCAACUGUUCUGCCUGCGGCUAUGGAACCCUGACCUGUUCACCGGACGUGCUACCUGUCCCAGACCUGCUGUUUUCAACUCUCUAGA